GAGAGAGAGCUAAAGGGUUUAUUUUCCUCUAGUAUUCCUCGUCCUUCUAGUUCUUGGAAGAAUAUCGUCGAUCAACUUAUCAUCGAGAAAGCUUGGAUGAAGACCACUUAUGAGUCAGAGAUCGAACAUAUCCGAAGGAAGUACACGCCUUUGGCUAGUUCAGCUGAUUCAGUUGCUAGGGAUCCUUAGGAUGAUACUUUCCUUUUCUUUUGUAUUUGUAUUUUUGGUUUCUGAAAUUAUACUCAGUGUAAUCCUUCCAAAAUUUUAUGAAUGAAAAAAAGAUUUUAUGGUCA
rnacentral:lncRNA from 1 species